UGGUGCACAGCUUCUGGAUUUGGCUC
rnacentral:piRNA from 1 species